rnacentral:rRNA from 1 species
UACGGGGGGGGCAAGCGUUGUUCGGAAUUACUGGGCGUAAAGAGCUCGUAGGCGGUCUGUCGCGUCUGCUGUGAAAACUCAGGGCUUAACCCUGAGCUUGCAGUGGGUACGGGCAGACUAGAGUGCGGUAGGGGAGACUGGAAUUCCUGGUGUAGCGGUGAAAUGCGCAGAUAUCUGGAGGAACACCGGUGGCGAAGGCGGCAUCCUGGACCAAUAUGACGCUGAGGAGCGAAAGCUAGGGGAGCAAA